CUACGGGUCGCUGCAGCUGAGAAUAAUCUACAAUGCACGAAAGUGUGAUAGUUUGAGCCAGAGUGCGAUUCAUUGAAUCGCUUUUGCCAAAUGUAAAAAGUUUGGCGAAUAAGGACUGGGUAAGACGAGUGCCAGCCGCCGCGGUAAUACUCGCGGUCCAAGUCGCAGCCAUUUUUAUUGGGUCUAAAACAUCCGUAGCUUGCUUGACAAGUCCCUUGUGAAAUCCUACAUCUUAAGUGUGGGGCGCGCGAGGGGUACUAUCAAGCUAGAGACCGGAAGACGCAACGAGUACGUUUGAAGUAGUGGUAAAAUAUGUUAAUCUCAAACGGACUAACAACAGCGAAGGCACGUUGCGAGGACGGUUCUGACAGUAAGGGAUGAAGGCUAGGGGCGCAAAACGGGUUAGAUACCAUUGUAGUC
rnacentral:rRNA from 1 species